CUUAAAUUGAAGAGUUUGAUCAUGGCUCAGAUUGAACGCUGGCGGCAGGCCUAACACAUGCAAGUCGAGCGGUAGCACAGAGGAGCUUGCUCCUUGGGUGACGAGCGGCGGACGGGUGAGUAAUGUCUGGGAAACUGCCUGAUGGAGGGGGAUAACUACUGGAAACGGUAGCUAAUACCGCAUAACCUCGCAAGAGCAAAGAGGGGGACCUUAGGGCCUCUCGCCAUCAGAUGUGCCCAGAUGGGAUUAGCUAGUAGGUGAGGUAAUGGCUCACCUAGGCGACGAUCCCUAGCUGGUCUGAGAGGAUGACCAGCCACACUGGAACUGAGACACGGUCCAGACUCCUACGGGAGGCAGCAGUGGGGAAUAUUGCACAAUGGGCGCAAGCCUGAUGCAGCCAUGCCGCGUGUGUGAAGAAGGCCUUCGGGUUGUAAAGCACUUUCAGCGAGGAGGAAGGCGGUAAGGUUAAUA
rnacentral:rRNA from 1 species